rnacentral:lncRNA from 1 species
AUGGCCGGCCAAAGCAAGAACAAAGGAAGAAAAGAAGAACAAAAACCCUAGAGUGAAAAUUCAAGAGAAAAUUGGUGGAUUUCAAGUAAUCAAGCCAUCAAAGGUGAAAUUUCUUAACUCUAGCUUGUGAUCUAUCUUUCCUAUGCAUUAUUUGCAUUUUUCAUAGUUGAAUCACAAGAUAUCAUGAAGGAUAGUGUGCUGAUCAAACCCUAGGAGAGAGAAUUUGAUGAUGAUUUAGAUAGAUUUUUAAGAUAUAUGGAUGUUUUUAGUUGUUUAUGGUGUUAAGUGUAAGAAUUAAGCUUGAAAUUCACAUAUUCCUCAUGAGUUCAUCAUUGGCCGAAUCUUCCUUGUAGAGUGUUGAUGGUGGAUUUGAUUUUAUUUCAAGUGAAUUGGUUAGGAAAUGAUGAAUUAUGGUGAGAAAAUCAAGUAGGAAAAAUCAUAGUGUUGAUGCACUCACCAUGGUCGAAAUUCUCAAGAAGAAAUGUGAGGAUGGUUUUGCUAAAUUUUAUGUUAUUUGACAUGUGUUUGGUGAUUUGAAGUAUUGGAAGAGAAAUGGAAUUAUUUGGAGUUGAAUUGGACGUAUUGGCCAAUUAAUCGAGUGAUAGAUCGAGUUAGGCCAACACUGCAUGUAGACGAUAAUCCGAACAAUUCGCGUUCCAUAUCAAGCAUUCAUAUAGAGUUUAGAUUAGUUUUAUAACGGUUUAGCACCAAUGUGGUAAAUUGCUUGAUUUUGCAUUAUGUCUAGGUGGUGAAUCCUCCGAAAAAGGGCAAAGAAAUUACACCCGAGGAUCAAUAGUCGUAGCACUCCAAAAUUCAAACUCCUGAUACAGUGAGUAACCUUAUCAUCAUCUUGAUUAUCUGAAGUGAAUUUUAAUUCGUUUUGUGAUUUUAUGGAAAAUGAGUUUAAAUGGUAAAUCUUUAUGUUUUAAAAGUAAAAUGUGAUUAAAUGAAAUGAUUUUAUAAAAUUGUCUUGAAAUUGAAUGAUGGUUUUGGAAAAUGGAGUAAUUGAAGAUUAAUUGCUAUGUUGUAAAUUAUGGUUUGAAUUGAAUGGCUUAUGAUAAUGUGGGAAUGAGUGGCUGGAUUUGGUAAAUGUGCUGAAAAUGUAUGAACUGUUGAUUUGCCUUGAGAGGCUAUAAAAUAAAAUAAUUGCCAUGUCAUGCUGUUGAAUUUUAUUGAAUUGGUGGGUUAUAAAUUGGCCGCUGCAGUGGACGGGUUCCGUGGACCAGCCUAUUAGAGGAGUACGGUAACCCUAUUAUAUUCUUACCUCAGUAUGAGAGGCACGGAUGGAUAACUCCUGAGGUUAACACUUGAGAGUUCACUUUACGCUAAACCACCACGUGAGGGUGAUCUCAGCCAACGCCAAGGAACGACUAUGUUUUCAAAAUAAAAACAUGAUUUAUGCGUACGUGACUUUUUAACAGCCUUCGCGGACUCGGUUGGGAUAGCCCUUGGCCAAGGUAUCCCUGAUAAUUGAGUAUGAUAAUGAUUUUGGCACGAGCUAAACUUUUCAGGAAAUCAUAAGCCUCGUUGUUUGUUUGGGUGAAAUGAAUCUAUUUUAUCUUAUUAAAAUGAGUUCGAAAUGCUGUGAAUCAUUUUUAUGUUAAUCUAUUUUAUCUGUCUCCAUUUACUCAGUUUUAGAUAUUUUAGAUGAUAUUUGUUUACUCACUAGGAUUAUAUAAUCUCACCACCCUCUUUUCCACCCAUUUCAGGCUCAAGAUAGUCGGUAGAUAGCUCACUUUGUUGAGGACUACAAUUGGACUUACAUCCUCAAAAACUGUAGGUUUAUCGCUUUUGAUACUUUUGGUCGUUCGAGGACCCACGUGUUAUUGUAAAUUAAAUGUUAUACUUUGGUUAUCUAUAUUACAGUAUGUAUGAAUUUAUUUAGCUUUUAUGCUACAAAAAUUAUUUAUCGAUAACUCUAUAAAUAUUGUUUUAUAAGAAAAUAAAAUAUUUUUUUGAAUAUUUUUAUUAU